AACUCAGCAUCUAGUUGGUGUUUCUAAGUCCAAUAACAAAGUAACACCUGUCUAAAAAUAACAUGUCAUCACACCCUACCUUAUACACCUGAAAAUACAAAUAUGCCCUUGAAAAAUUUCAAACCCCCGCCUAAGCACCCUUUUCCCCUUCAGCAAAAUCAAAACUCUCUUACUCCUCUCUGCUCUCUCUCACCGCACCACCAUCUGCUCUCUUUCUUUCUCUCAAGUCCGAAGUUCCACAGCCACUGCUUAGCAUCACCGCCGGAAAAAAUUUCAAACACUCACCCUCUCUUGCUUUUCCCCUUUUUGCAAAAUCAAAACUUUCAUCUUUCUCCCUCCAUGGCUCUAUCUUCUCUCUCUCAACUCCAAACCUUGACAGCCGCUGCCUAGCAUCGCCGUCGGAUAUAGAGAUACACUGUCGAUCAUCACCAGUUCUGACGAGACCGACGUUUGUCUCGUCGAAAAACGCCCAAAGCUGUCUCUUUCUCGUUGUUUCCAACCACCAACACCAGAAGUUUUCUCUGCUUCUAACACCAGACGUUGCAGGAAUGUUUUGUUCUCUCUCUUUUUGAAUUUAUUUUCUGAAAUUUUAUGUUUAAAUGUGUCUUGUUUUGUUUUUGUUUUUGUUUUUUUUUUUUUUUUUUUUUUUUUUUUUUUUUUAAAUUGACAUAUACAUUCAUAUCUAGAAAGGAAACUUCUACUGUUUGAUAAAAUGCUUCAGUGAAAAUAUUGAUUAGAUGAUGCAUUUAUAUGGGAUUUAUAAACAGAGGAAUCAGAAUAGCCAAAGUCUGGGAGACUAGCAAUUCCAAAUUAGCUAAGUUUAAGUUGUUUCUGGCUUAAUAAAAACCAUUUGUGAUCAGUGUCUGUCCAUACCAAUUUUACAUGUACAUUUCACUAUCCAUCUAUCCACAUAUACACUCACAUUUCACUAACAAUACAAAUCUGUCCUACAAGAAUUCAUAAUUCUUAUAUUAGAAAUUGUUAUAAACAAGAUUUUGGUGUGCAUCCUGCAUGCAAACUGUUAGACCAAUAAAUUCAAUCACUACUUUCCAGAAAAGAUACCUAAUCUGACUUGAGUAAUAAGCUCACCCAACUAGUGCAGUGACCUGCAUUAUUUGCUUUUUCAUAGUUGGAAUUUUCACAAUUUGUUUCAUUAUUUGUAAUAAUUUUUUUUUCAUGGUGUAGGGAUGGAUGUGAUGCUUUUGUUCCGUUGUUUUUGCUGAAGGAAUUGAUUUUGAUAAAUAGUUUCUUCCUAAGAGUCUCCUCUAAGGGCCUUGCAUAAAAUUCUGGACAAAGCUCUUUUGGAUAGUAUUUUGGAUGUUAUUCUGCACAGCUAAUGGACAGCAUUUUGGGACAGCAUUUUCGACAUUAUUGCACAGUGGAGGAACAUCUUAGAUAGUAUUUUUGACUUGCCAAUUUUUUAGAUAGAAUAGCUGAAAAUUUGGUCAAGUGAUUGCAUAGCCAAACACUAAUUAUUGCUGUCAUUUUGGAAAGAUUUUGUAACUAAUGAAGUUACUCAAACAUGAUAGAUUUUGUGUAUGUUUGAGUAGCUUCUAGUUAAAGACUAAUUAUAUGCAAAUGAUGAAAAUUUUUAAUGCAAUAGUACAUUUUAUUCUUUUA